rnacentral:lncRNA from 1 species
UGAUUUGUUAGACUGAGUUCUAAGACCUUGGCCAGGGCAGUAAUAUAAGUGGAGAAAGAGUUUUCCACUAUCGAACUCGAAUCGAAUAAAUUUUGACAUAUGACAGACGAUGGGGUUUGACGAGUUGUCCAUGACCUCCGUCCUGUAGGGAUCCACGAUAGUAGGACUGUAUCACAUGUUAACUGCACCUAGAGGUUCAUCAUUCCAUUCUGCUGGGUAGCCACUACAUGCUGCUAGGUGUC